rnacentral:lncRNA from 1 species
AGAAAGACUGACUUCCUUGCUCAAUUGAGCUGUUAGUGUUUUGAAAGUUUACAGAGAAGUUCUUCAAAAUCUCUCAGGGCUCCACUGGCACUAAGCAGCAGCAAAAGGCACUUCAGCGUCAAGAAGUCUGAAAGCUGAGGCAGCUUAAGCGAUGCGUGCAUGCAUUGACCAAUGAACUAGACCAGGACUGUGGGUCAGCCAUAAAGAGGAAGGAGAGCCUCAUAUACGUUAGGCGUCCCUACAGAGCCCUAGGCCACAAGGAGCUGGAUGGUCUCAAAAGGACAAAGAGCUUAUGCAUCUACUUCUGAGAACCCUAGAGUCUCAGGCCUACUGAAGCAGAAAGCAGAAUGAAACACCUAGACUGGAGAGGGACGGACAGUGAGUAAGUAGCUCAUGGGGUUACAGUUUUAUUUCAGUAAGAUUGGAAAGUUCUGAAGGUGGAUGGGUGGACUUGGCUUGAUUGCAAAAGUCUAUAUGAUAUGUCUUUGGGAGCUGGUGGCUAGGGAUGUGACUCAGUUGGUAGAAUGAUACCUGGCAUGCAUCCCCUGCGUUCCACCCCUACCAUGGCUACCCAGUCACUGAUAGUACACACCUGUAAUCCUAGCACAAAGGAAAUGUCUGUAGGAGGCUCAAAACCUCAAGGUCAUCCUCAGCUGAGGUCCAGACCAGCCUGGGCUAUGUGAAACCCUGAUCAAACACAAAC